rnacentral:rRNA from 1 species
AACGAACGCUGGCGGCAGGCUUAACACAUGCAAGUCGAACGCGUGUAGCAAUACACGAGUGGCGCACGGGUGAGUAACGCGUGGAUAUCUGCCUUUUGGUUCGGAAUAACCCCGGGAAACUGGGGCUAAUACCGGAUGGUUCCUUCGGGAUAAAGAUUUAUCGCCAAAAGAUGAGUCCGCGUCCGAUUAGCUAGUUGGUGAGGUAACGGCUCACCAAGGCGACGAUCGGUAGCUGGUCUGAGAGGACGAUCAGCCACACUGGGACUGAGACACGGCCCAGACUCCUACGGGAGGCAGCAGUGGGGAAUAUUGGACAAUGGGCGCAAGCCUGAUCCAGCCAUGCCGCGUGAGUGAUGAAGGCCUUCGGGUUGUAAAGCUCUUUUGGCGGGGACGAUGAUGACGGUACCCGCAGAAUAAGCCCCGGCUAACUUCGUGC